rnacentral:lncRNA from 10 species
GGGACUAUAGGCACCCACCACCAUGCCCGGCUAAUUUUUUGUAUUUUUAGUGAGACGGGGUUUCACCAUGUUGGCCAGGAUGGUCUCGAUGUCCUGACCUCGUGAUCUGCCCACCUCGGCCUCCCAAAGUGCUGAGAUUACAGGCGUGAGCCACCGCGCCAGGCCAGGAGUGAAUCUUAAGGAGGCUAUUGGCAUGUGCCAUUCCCCCAUCACCUGCCUGCAUGACUCAUUGGUCCUGUGACUAGGACUGGUUCAAUCAAAAUGAAGGAAACAUUUAUAUUACACACUUGGAGAUGUGGUUUUUCCAUUUUUGACCAGGUAGUUGAGAACAAAGAAGUAUGUAGCUCCAGUUGCCACUGACAACUGUCUUGUUAUUAUGAGGCACUUGGAAAUGAGGCUUACAACAUCAUGAGAAAGACGGAGAGAGUCAGUUAUCUGACGACAUCUUUCAGCUACUGAUGGUGCCACUCCUUCCAGUUAGGGAGCAUCCAUGGGGAGUUAAUUUCCCCACACUUCUGGGUUGCAGCAUCUGGUGCUUGGAGGCUGCCCAGGAAGCCAGAUGUCAUGCUCCAUCAUGCGACAUUUCAUCCCAUUCUGGAAGUGGAGGGAUGACUCAAAGCAGAGCGUAUUUGACAACUUGAAGUGAUUGUAUUUGUGCCACUGGUUGCUGUCUGCCUCUCCUAUAGAAGGAAGAACCAAUCCCAGCACUUUGGGAGGCUGAGGUAGGUGGAUCACAAGGCCAAGAGAUCAAGACCAUCCUGGCCAAAAUGGUGAAACCUUGUCUCUACUAAAAAUACAAAAAUUAGCUGGGCGUAGUGGUGCGGGCCUGUAGUCUCAGCUAUCCAGGAGGCUGAGGCAGGAGAAUCGCUUGAACCUGGGAGGCGGAGGUUGCAGUGAGCCGAGAUCGCACCACUGCACUCUGGCCUGGCAACAGAGCAAGACUCCAUCUUAAAAAAAAAAAAAAAAAAAGGAAGAGAAGCAUGAAGGCUGCAGCUUUGUCUUGUUCACUCCUGCAGCCGCAGUGCUUGGCCCAAAGUGGCCAAAAUGUUGGUUGAAUAAAUGAUAGAGAGAAUCUGAUGAAAAUACAUAAAUUAAAAAAGAAAUCAUAAUUUGAGCUAUAUAUGUACAGGCUAUUUACAAAAUAAUUAUAGAUAAAUGUUCAAAUGAAAAAGAGGAAGCUGUGAAGAUGACUGUAGGACAUCUCUUGUUUUCAGCCUCCCAGAUCUUCUGGUAAUUUAAGUGGAAAUUGAUAAUACUAAAAGAUUGUCAUGAAUUUCAAAAAGGCUUUUCUAAUCUACAACUCCCCUGUAGACUUUUAUAAAGAGAUUUCUGUAUAAAGAUUUUGACUUUUAUAAAGAGAUUUUUGUUACCAAUUAGAUGCUAGACUGGAAAGUAAUCAACUUAGGGAAAAAUAUAUAAAUAUAAAUGUGUAUGUGUGUAUUUUUUUUCAUGAUUUUAAUCAACUAAGAGAAGUAGAGUUUUUACACUAAUUUUGAAGGUUGCAUAUUUAGAAUCUUGCAUUUUAUUAAAGGCAAUAUCAUAAUACUUAACAUCUAUGCCAGAGACCUGCUUGGUUAUAUUAUAUGAAGAGAGGCAUGCUUUUUAUGGAAUCAUUUCUAAGGAAGUGGACAUUGAAAUGACAAUUCCAAGAAAAAUGCUUUCCUUUGUCUAAUUUGUUUUUACCCCUUCUUUACAGGUUUUUUAUGUUAC